rnacentral:sRNA from 1 species
UUGGUCGGAUGCGGAAGUAU